rnacentral:rRNA from 1 species
AGAAGGUGUCAUGUCUAGUAUAAGCAAUUAUACCGUGAAACUGCGAAUGGCUCAUUAAAUCAGUUAUCGUUUUUUGAUAGUACCUUACUACAUGGAUAACCGUGGUAAUUCUAGAGCUAAUACAUGCUGAAAACCCCAACUUCUGGAGGGGUGUAUUUAUUAUAUAAAAAACCAACGCCCUUCUGGGCUCCUUGGUGAUUCUUAAUAACUUUACGGAUCUCAUGGCCUUGCGCCGGCCACGGAUCAUUCAAAUUUCUGCCCUAUCAACUUUCUAUGGUAAGGUAUUGGCUUACCAUGGUUUCAACGGGGAACGGGGAAUGUA